rnacentral:SRP_RNA from 1 species
CUAUGCUAGGUGGGGAGGUAGCGGUGCCCUAUAACUCGCAAUCCGCUUUAGCGAGACUGAAGUCCUUUUCGAGGCUGUCCGUAUGUUUGGUCUGCCUCGUGCACGUAGUGUUGAAGAUUGGGUCCUGCGCAAUGAGCGCUUAUGAACCAUGUCAGGUCCGGAAGGAAGCAGCAUUAAGUAGGUUAACUCAUGUGCCGUGGGGUAGCCUGAUCUGAGCUGGCGACAGGAGUAACGCUUGUGUACGGCAGUCGAAGAAAGGUGCAUGG